UUCUGUNCCGGAGUUAACGCAAUAAGUACCCCGCCUGGGGAGUACGACCGCAAGGUUGAAACUCAAAGGAAUUGACGGGGGCCCGCACAAGCGGUGGAGUAUGUGGUUUAAUUCGACGCAACGCGAAGAACCUUACCAGGUCUUGACAUUGAUGGACAGAACCAGAGAUGGUUCCUCUUCUUCGGAAGCCAGAAAACAGGUGGUGCACGGUUGUCGUCAGCUCGUGUCGUGAGAUGUUGGGUUAAGUCCCGCAACGAGCGCAACCCCUAUCUUAUGUUGCCAGCACUUUGGGUGGGGACUCAUGAGAGACUGCCGCAGACAAUGCGGAGGAAGGCGGGGAUGACGUCAAAUCAUCAUGCCCCUUAUGACCUGGGCUACACACGUACUACAAUGGGAGUUAAUAGACGGAAGCGAGAUCGCGAGAUGGAGCAAACCCGAGAAACACUCUCUCAGUUCGGAUCGUAGGCUGCAACUCGCCUACGUGAAGUCGGAAUCGCUAGUAAUCGCAGGUCAGCAUACUGCGGUGAAUACGUUCCCGGGCCUUGUACACACC
rnacentral:rRNA from 1 species